rfam:Candidatus Moranbacteria bacterium RIFOXYB1_FTLL_43_19 rifoxyb1_full_scaffold_301, whole genome shotgun sequence.
CGAUGUCGGCUCAUCGCAUCCUGGGGCUGGAGAAGGUCCCAAGGGUUUGGCUGUUCGCCAAUUAAAGCGGUACGCGAGCUGGGUUCAAACCGUCGAGAAGCUUAUUUAUAGGCUUUUCAGCUGUUUGAACCCGAGGAGAUGACAUCAAAUCAUGGCGGCCUUAGAGAGCAAUCUCUAAGUGCGAAACCGACUCAUUUCGAUGAAGUCCUGUUGCAUGACAAACCGUCAUAUGAUAGGAUAAUAUCGAGGGAAGUCGUGUAUGCUAAAAUCUAUUUCGUCAACUAAAAAAUCUUAUCUGGCUGGUUUUCUGGAUGCUGAUGGAAGCAUUUAUGUGCAAGCCAAACCGAACAAAACAUACCGUUUCGGUUUUCAAGUUGCACCUUAUAUUGUUUUCUAUCAGUCACAUAAAGAUGCCAAAUCUUUUCAUCGUGUUUGUUCUCUGACUAAACUAGGACACAAGCGCUUGAGGAAAGAUGGUAUCGUCGAACAUAUAAUCAGCAAACAGGAAGAAAUAAUAUCCUUUAUUGGAUUAGUUGAGCCUUAUGUGAUAAUGAAAAAAUCACAAAUAGCUCUAUUAAAAAGGAUUAUUAGUCUGAAGAAAAAAGUGAAAACAAGAAAAGAUUUUAAACAGUUGAUAAAUGUUAUAGAUCAAUUUCGGGAAUUAAAUUAUUCCAAGAAAAGAAAAAAGCGUACAUUGACCCCCUAGAGACUAAACGUCGGUCUCCGCAUAAGUUUUCUUCGAAAAUUUAGGCGGAUGAAGGUAUAGUCCAUACACAUAGUAAUAUGUGACCAAUAUGCGUGAGACAGGUUGGUCUCUAUCUGCCGUAGGCGCCGUUGCUUGAGAAGAGUCUUUCUUAGUACGAGAGGACCGGAAAGAACGAACCUCUGGUUUACCAGUUGAUCCUGCCAAGGGCAACGCUGGGUAGCUAUGUUCGGAAGGGAUAACCGCUGAAAGCAUAUAAGCGGGAAGCCCACUUCAAGAUUAGGCAACUCUAGUGCUUGCACUAGAUAGCUUCCUGGGAGAUGACCAGGUUGAUAGGCUUCAGGUGUAAGUGCGGCAACGCAUUGAGCCGAGAAGUACUAAUAAGCUAAAGAAUUUACCCU